GAAACGUGAACCAAGCAGGCGUGCGAACGCCGUGAGACUUGGAGCUGCCCCGGGCAACCGGGGCAUG
rnacentral:sRNA from 1 species